rnacentral:rRNA from 1 species
AGAGUUUGAUCCUGGCUCAGAACGAACGCUGGCGGCAGGCUUAACACAUGCAAGUUGAACGUGAUUUGCUGGGUGCUUGCACCGAGCAAUGAAAGUAGCGCACUGGUGAGUAACACGUGGGAACGUACCUUUUGGUGGGGAACAACAGUUGGAAACGACUGCUAAUACCGCAUAAGCCCUGAGGGGGAAAGAUUUAUCGCCGAAAGAACGGCCCGCGGAAGAUUAGGUAGUUGGUGGGGUAACGGCCUACCAAGCCGACGAUCUAUAGCUGGUCUGAGAGGACGAUCAGCCACAUUGGAACUGAGACACGGUCCAAACUCCUACGGGAGGCAGCAGUGAGGAAUAUUGGGCAAUGGAGGCAACUCUGACCCAGCCAUGCCGCGUGAGUGAAGAAGGUUUUCGGAUUGUAAAGCUCUUUCGGGUGUGACGAUGAUGACGGUAGCACCUAAAGAAGCCCCGGCUAACUUCGUGCCAGCAGCCGCGGUAAUACGAAGGGGGCAAGCGUUGUUCGGAAUUACUGGGCGUAAAGGGAGUGUAGGCGGUUAUGUAAGAUAGUGGUGAAAUCCCAGAGCUUAACUUUGGAAUUGCCAUUAUGACUAUGUGGCUAGAAUUACAGAGAGGAUAGUGGAAUACCCAGUGUAGAGGUGAAAUUCGUAGAUAUUGGGUAGAACACCAGUGGCGAAGGCGACUAUCUGGCUGUAUAUUGACGCUGAGGCUCGAAAGCAUGGGGAUCAAACAGGAUUAGAUACCCUGGUAGUCCAUGCUGUAAACGAUGAGUGCUUGUUGUCGGUAUUGUAUCGGUGACGAAGUUAACGCGUUAAGCACUCCGCCUGGGGAGUACGGUCGCAAGAUUAAAACUCAAAGGAAUUGACGGGGACCCGCACAAGCGGUGGAGCAUGUGGUUUAAUUCGAUGCAACGCGAAGAACCUUA